rnacentral:sRNA from 1 species
GCCCGUGUCACGCGAGACCCGGCGGGGGCCGGGACCGCCCGAGCCGCCCCUCAGACCGAGCCGGCCGCCUCCGCUGCCGCGGCCGCCUCCUCUUCGGGGUCAUUAAAGCCAAUGAGCCGCGCGCCUCUGCCGAGCGCAGCCAACUAAAUCGGCUUGGAUGAUUCGCGACCUGAGCAAGAUGUACCCGCAGACCAGACACCCGGCACCGCAUCAGCCUGCUCAACCCUUUAAAUUUACAAUUUCCGAAUCCUGUGAUCGGAUUAAGGAAGAGUUUCAGUUUUUACAGGCUCAAUACCACAGUCUGAAGCUGGAAUGUGAGAAACUCGCCAGUGAGAAGACAGAGAUGCAGCGGCAUUAUGUCAUGUAUUAUGAAAUGUCCUAUGGGUUGAAUAUAGAAAUGCACAAGCAGUAUUGCAGGUUGUUAAGAAGAAAUUGACUUGAAGAGGCCGACUGCUGCCCAUCAUGGAG